rnacentral:rRNA from 1 species
ACGUAGGGGGCAAGCGUUAUCCGGAUUUACUGGGUGUAAAGGGAGCGUAGACGGUAAAGCAAGUCUGGAGUGAAAACCCGGGGCUUAACCCCGGGAUUGCUUUGGAAACUGUUGAACUGGAGUGCAGGAGAGGUAAGCGGAAUUCCUAGUGUAGCGGUGAAAUGCGUAGAUAUUAGGAGGAACACCAGUGGCGAAGGCGGCUUACUGGACUGUAACUGACGUUGAGGCUCGAAAGCGUGGGGAGCAAACAG